UGUGGUUUAAUUCGAAGCAACGCGAAGAACCUUUACCAGGUCUUGACAUCCGAUGCUAUUUCUAGAGAUAGAAAGUUACUUCGGUACAUCGGUGACAGGUGGUGCAUGGUUGUCGUCAGCUCGUGUCGUGAGAUGUUGGGUUAAGUCCCGCAACGAGCGCAACCCCUAUUGUUAGUUGCCAUCAUUCAGUUGGGCACUCUAGCGAGACUGCCGGUAAUAAACCGGAGGAAGGUGGGAUGACGUCAAAUCAUCAUGCCCCUUAUGACCUGGGCUACACACGUGCUACAAUGGUUGGUACAACGAGUUGCGAGUCGGUGACGGCGAGCUAAUCUCUUAAAGCCAAUCUCAGUUCGGAUUGUAGGCUGCAACUCGCCUACAUGAAGUCGGAAUCGCUAGUAAUCGCGGAUCAGCACGCCGCGGUCGAAUACGUUCCCGGGCCUU
rnacentral:rRNA from 1 species